rnacentral:lncRNA from 1 species
AGCAGACACAUUCAGUGGGCUAGAAGAAACCUCAUUUGGUUCUUGAUGUUCCUGAUGAAAUCUGAAGGGGAUGUUCUAAUGGAUGCCUAAAUACUUGAGGAAAAAGCCACACUGAAAAGAAUAUGGGAAGUCUUGGUUAUUUAUUGUAAGUAUUAUUUCUUGGUUAGUCAGAU